ACGAGCAGAUGGUCAGUAAGGGGAGGCAGAUGGAGGCAGGAGCUCUGAGUAUGUUCUUACCCUCUUCAGCUUGCGUAUGAAGAGAGUCAGGAGGAGCCAAAAGAGCGUCGCAGCCACACAGGUACAGGCUCAAAAAUGGACUGAGAAGUUGCAAUUCGCUCAAAGAGGGACAGACACUCAAGUUCUGUGAAGGCUGCAGAGGAAUGAGUGAAAAAAGCCUCCAGUAAGGUUCCUCAUGCUUCAUGCAGGUGGAAGAGAGAAGAAGCAUUUUUCCCAAUCAUAGUAGCUCCCAUAGAAAUCACGCAAGAACAGUGUCUGUGGUCCCUGCAGACAUGCAGUUGGAGAAAAGCUUUCCCAGUUGCUGUAUUUCCUCUUUUCUGGAUCAUGCACAAGGAGAUAUGACUUCCUAGAAGCCAUCCUACAGAAUGUUGGUGGUUGUAAUAAAUAUCCAAGAUAUAAUGAAGUUAAAAAUCAAUACAAUAAUGAGUUACAUUUUCCAGAAUGAUCAAUUAUCAGGAUGCAUCUGACAGCAAACACUCAGGGACAAGUCAUUCUUCUGGUGAUUAUAAUAGUCAUUAAAACCUUAGUAUUAUUCAUAAGGAAAUAGUUGGUUUUUUACUCUUUGAUUACACCAGUUAGGCUAGCCCAUGUGCAUAUUCUUAUCCCUGACCUUUCAAAGCAAGACCCGUAUCAUCAGCAACAACAAUUAACUGAGACUGCUAAAGCACUUGUGGCAGAAAAUCAAUAUUAAUUUACUAGCUGUAAUUGUCUUCUGCUGCAGGGCAGCAUCCAAAUAUUCAGGACUUGCAUUCAGAAACAUUUAGCAAUUGUAUGAGAACACCCACAAGGACAUAAUCCCUGCCCCAGAGAGCUGGUAGUAGUCAAAAUGCUUUAUAUAAAGAGAAACCAAAUGCAUUUAGGACUAUUUACCUAAGACAUGAGAUCAAUAAGAUAGGGUAUGUCAAAUUUGCACAUGGCAUUCCCAUACACAGAGAAUGUCAAUCUGCUUCUCCUUUCUCAUAAUAUAUGAACCAAAAGGAUAUUCAAUGAAACUGAAAAGUCACAAAAUAAACCUGCUUUUUCUGCAAUGUACAGUUACUCAAGGGAAGUCACUGCCCCAGGUCUAAGUCAAGCUUGGCAGUAGACAGGAGGACAAUGCUGUACGUUUAAACAAAUAGCAAAAUAACUCAAGUAAUGGCAGCAGCAAUAACUUGAUCAUAUCUACUUCUUUAGGUACAUGAAGUACCUUUGAAAAAUGCAUCUGUAGUUAUUGCUAGGGUAAAAUCUUCUGAUCCUGUUUGGCAGCUCAGUUUACAUUGAAAAUAAACACAUGAAAAUA